GACGAACGCUGGCGGCGUGCUUAACACAUGCAAGUCGAACGGAGUGGCGAACGGGUGAGUAACACGUGGGUGAUCUGCCUUGCACUUCGGGAUAAGCUUGGGAAACUGGGUCUAAUACCGGAUAGUGCAAGAUGAGCUCGGGGCCUAUCAGCUUGUUGGUGGGGUAAUGGCCUACCAAGGCGUCGACGGGUAGCCGGCCUGAGAGGGUGUACGGGCACAUUGGGCCUGAGUUACGGCCCAGACUCCUACGGGAGACAGCAGUGGGGGAUAGUGCACAAUGGGCGGAAGCCCGAUGCAGCGACGCCGGGUGGGGGGUGAAGGCCUUCGGUUUGUAAUCUCCUUUCGCCAGGGACGCGGUACCUGUAUAAGAAGCACCGGCUAACUACGUGCCAGCAGCCGCGGUAAUAC
rnacentral:rRNA from 1 species